GCCUCGUUAGCUCAGCUGGCAGAGCAGGAAGCUCUUAACUUCAAGGUCGAGGGUUCGAAUCCCCCACGAGGCAC
rnacentral:tRNA from 1 species